GGGAUGCGCGCCUGGGUGUAGUUGUGGGGGAGGAAGUGGCUAGCUCAGGGCUUCAGGGGACAGACAGGGAGAGAUGACUGAGUUAGAUGAGACGAGGGGGCGGGCUGGGGGUGCGAGAAGGAAGCUUGGCAAGGAGACUAGGUCUAGGGGGACCACAGUGGGGCAGGCUGCAUGGAAAAUAUCCGCAGGGUCCCCCAGGCAGAACAGCCACGCUCCAGGCCAGGCUGUCCCUACUGCCUGGUGGAGGGGGAACUUGACCUCUGGGAGGGCGCCGCUCUUGCAUAGCUGAGCGAGCCCGGGUGCGCUGGUCUGUGUGGAAGGAGGAAGGCAGGGAGAGGUAGAAGGGGUGGAGGAGUCAGGAGGAAUAGGCCGCAGCAGCCCUGGAAAUGAUCAGGAAGGCAGGCAGUGGGUGCAGGGCUGCAGGAGGGCCGGGAGGGCUAAUCUUCAACUUGUCCAUGCCAGCAGCCCCUUUUUUUCCAGACCAAGGGCUGUGAACCCGCCUGGGGAUGAGGCCUGGUCUUGUGGAACUGAACUUAGCUCGACGGGGCUGACCGCUCUGGCCCAGGGUGGUAUGUAAUUUUCGCUCGGCCUGGGACGGGGCCCAGGCCGGGCCCAGCCUGGUGGAGCGUCCAGGUCUGGGUGCGAAGCCAGGCCCCUGGGCGGAGGUGAGGGGUGGUCUGAGGAGUGAUGUGGAGUUAAGGCGCCAUCCUCACCGGUGACUGGUGCGGCACCUAGCAUGUUUGACAGGCGGGGACUGCGAGGCACGCUGCUCGGGUGUUGGGGACAACAUUGACCAACGCUUUAUUUUCCAGGUGGCAGUGCUCCUUUUGGACUUUUCUCUAGGUUUGGCGCUAAACUCUUCUUGUGAGCUCACUCCACCCCUUCUUCCUCCCUUUAACUUAUCCAUUCACUUAAAACAUUACCUGGUCAUCUGGUAAGCCCGGGACAGUAAGCCGAGUGGCUGUUGGAGUCGGUAUUGUUGGUAAUGGUGGAGGAAGAGAGGCCUUCCCGCUGAGGCUGGGGUGGGGCGGAUCGGUGUUGCUUGCCUGCAGAGAGGGUGGGGAGUGAAUGUGCACCCUUGGGUGGGCCUGCAGCCAUCCAGCUGAAAGUUACAAAAAUGCUUCAUGGACCGUGGUUUGUUACUAUAGUGUUCCUCAUGGCGAGCAGAUGGAACCGGGAGACAUGGAGUCCCUGGCCAGUGUGAGUCCUAGCAUUGCAGGAGGGGAGACCCUGGAGGAGAGAGCCCGCCUCAAUUGAUGCCUGCAGAUUGAAUUUCCAGAGGCUUAGGAGGAGGAAGUUCUCCAAUGUUCUGUUUCCAGGCCUUGCUCAGGAAGCCCUGUAUUCAGGAGGCUACCAUUUAAAGUUUGCAGAUGAGCUUAUGGGGGGCAAUCUUAAAAAGUCCACAGCAGAUGCAUCCGGCUCGAGGGGCCAUCAGCUUUGAAUAAAUGCUUGUUCCA
rnacentral:lncRNA from 1 species